rnacentral:rRNA from 1 species
GACGAACGCUGGCGGCGUGCCUAAUACAUGCAAGUCGAACGCUUCUUUCCUCCCGAGUGCUUGCACUCAAUUGGAAAGAGGAGUGGCGGACGGGUGAGUAACACGUGGGUAACCUACCCAUCAGAGGGGGAUAACACUUGGAAACAGGUGCUAAUACCGCAUAACAGUUUAUGCCGCAUGGCAUAAGAGUGAAAGGCGCUUUCGGGUGUCGCUGAUGGAUGGACCCGCGGUGCAUUAGCUAGUUGGUGAGGUAACGGCUCACCAAGGCCACGAUGCAUAGCCGACCUGAGAGGGUGAUCGGCCACCCUGGGACUGAGACACGGCCCAGACUACUACGGGAGGAAGCAGUAGGGAAUCUUCGGCAAUGGACGAAAGUGUGACCGAGCAACGCCGCGUGAGUGAAGAAGGUUUUCGGAUCGUAAAACUCUGUUGUUAGAGAAGAACAAGGACGUUAGUAACUGAACGUCCCCUGACGGUAUCUAACCAGAAAGCCACGGCUAACUACGUG